UGCAAUCAUUUCUACUCUGAUUCUUGCUGAGUGAACGUCAUUUCGCCUCUGCCAUUUUCCUGCGCCAUUUCGUUUUCUUGUACACGAUGUCUGCUAAACGAACUUAUUCUGCAUCUAAUGUGCUAUUUGAAGAUCCUGACUUUCCCUUCCGUGACUCGGACGAUGACUUAAUAGAUGAAGUUGAUCAAAUCUUUAUGAAAAUCCUAUGGAUCUACCCUUGUAUUAUCAAGUGGGUUCCGGAUUUGAGGUAAAUUUUAGUUUCGUUAUGAUUCGAUUAGAAUAUUUUUUCUAGUACUAGAAAUGAAUGUAUUUAUUUUUAUUUUAUUUAUUUUUAGACUUCUUCCUCGUCAACUCGUGGACCUGUAUACAUGGCUGG